rnacentral:rRNA from 1 species
GUGUCAGCAGCCGCGGUAAUACGAGGGGGGCAAAUGUUGUUCGGAAUCACUGGGCGUAAAGGGAGCGUAGGCGGGUUUUUAAGUUGGAUGUUUAACCCCGGGGCCCAACCCCGGAUCGGCAUCCAAAACUGGAAAUCUUGAAUAGGGGAGAGGUCAGUGGAAUUGGAGGUGUAGCGGUGGAAUGCGUAGAGAUCUCCAAGAACACCAGUUGCGAAGGCGGCUGACUGGACCCAUAUUGACGCUGAGGCUCGAAAGCAUGGGGAGCAAACAGGAUUAGAAACCCCUGUAGUCC